rnacentral:pre_miRNA from 1 species
AAGAUAAGAGCCACUCGGGCUAGCCUAGGAGACUGCCUGUACGCAAUGAGAGACCGAUCAAGAGAGAAAGAGAUCACAUUCAUAGCCACUGGCAAGUCAUCCUUGGCUACCAGAAGAAGCCAUUACCA